AAGCUCUGGUUUCUCUUCAAAACGAAUACAUCUUUUGCCUUUUACUGCAGAUUUUCGUGGAGAGGAACAGUUGUUAGUAACC
ensembl:snRNA U5 U5 spliceosomal RNA